CCUCGUCAAAAGCUUAAGUUCAAACCUUCACUUCUUCUUUCAUCACUUCAGCCGUCACAGAAUCCUGGUAGCCAAAAUGAUUUUCAAGAGGUACAUUGAGAUUGGAAGGGUUGCUCAGAUCAACUACGGCAAAGACUAUGGGAGGCUAGUGGUCAUUGUCGAUGUCAUUGACCAGAACAGAUGGUAGAGAAGAUGAAUUUGAGAAGAUGAAUUUGAAAUCUGAAACUCUUUGAAUGGACAAAGGAAAAAAGGAGCAUUUGGUGAAUUUGCUACUGGGAUUGGAAACAGUGAUGUUGGUUUUGUUUUGGGAAUUAGGAAGCUUAUGUUCCAGAUUGAAUUUCUUUGACAACAGAUUAUUAAGUGACUGUAUCAUUUGGUGAGGUUAUACUAAUGGAUUCUUCUCAUACAAAAGUGUUGCAUGACUCUGGUUCCAUUCCAAUGGAGGAGGAGUAAACUUGUGGUACAGCUUCAGAGCUAACCGUAAAACAUUAGCAAUUAUUUAUGUGACAUUGUAUUUUUUUUCAAACUAUUAAUUUUUCUAUAUUAUUUAGGAUAUACUAAUGGAUUCUUCCCAUACAGAAGUGUUG